UAGACCAAAGGCUCCCAAGCUGGAAAAGUGUUUUCCAAGACAAGACCAUUGAUGGUAUGAGGCACAGCACACCCCCACCUAGCAAUGCAAGUUCUGUGUUAACGAGUGAAACGACGAUUGUCGCAUCAGCCAGUGAAUUCACCGAUAAUUCUAUUGGAUGGAUGUGCAUAGACCAAAGGCUCCCAGGCUGACAAGUCUAUUCCAAGACAAGACUAUUGAUGGUAUGAGGUCGGCUUAUACAUAGAAGCCGACCAUGUUAUAGUAUGGGUGCCGAAGCUAACAUGGUGAUGUAAUAUAAUAUGUUUUUAUUUAUGCACUGUAUUUCCAUGAAGAGCAGCUACAGCUUUUAUUGGAAUGUGCAGCUUAUAUGAUAUACCUAAACAUUUCACAAGGAUAUAAAAUGAACUAGUGGAAAUAGGAGCUGAAAUAGGUGAAGGUAGGGGAUCUGGCAUCUCAAGGCUUGGACAUAGGCGAAAGUCAGUAGCUAGCGUACGGGAGGGAUACUAUAGUACGCCUAGCAAACUCCCUGUAGCAGCUUGUACUCUAUGGGGAUCUUAUUGUACAAAUUUACUAUACCUACAAAAAACUCCAGUUUACAAAUAAUACUCCAGUAAAUUAAAUAUUAUAUUGGAUGUUGGUAUAUUUUAUUAAAUAGAAAUUACUUUGUAACAUAUACAUGUAUUGUGUGUGUGUGAGAAAGGAUGGCUUGGAUGCAGAUCCGUUAACCACAGAUGUUUAUUUUAAUUUUACAUUAAUCAUGUUCGACAUAAAAUUAUAAUUUCCCAAUAAAUGUGUAAAAUAA